rnacentral:lncRNA from 1 species
CUCUGUUACAACUGCAUCACAGUUGGACUUCUCCCUCUGCCCAAUCAUGCGUCUUUUACUCCCUUAGAAACAUUGUUUCUAAGGACAUUCUUGUAGUAGAUACUGUGAUGCACCACCCAAAUGUCACUUUAGGAAUAAGGAACUAAUUGCUAUGGUGCUGGAAAUCCUGGGCAAAGGUACUCAGAGAUAAGGCCUGUUCAGGGCAGCUUACACCCAUUGACUGAUCCAGUAGGGGCACCAAGGCUCCACUCUCGCACAUCAACUUGAGAUAGUACUGAAGGGUCAUCUUAAUUCAGAAGUCCCCGCCCCAAAGAAAGGAUACAUAGUCUAAUUUAAUUCAUCUCCAGAGACCCAGUGUCAUCAUGACCCUCCUCUGCCCCCAUGAGACUGGAGAUUUACGAGGCCAGGUGACAAAUAAAUGGGUGUGUAAAUUCCAGCUUCAGUGGGUCCACAGACACCUCCAGUGAUCAUUUCUUAAAUCUCAAAGUGAGAACUGACAUACUGGCAGUUAGAAAUACCGCACUUUGUAUCAUUGACCUGUGGGGAACACCAUAUCACAGUGAAGGAGGCCAAAUGGACACCUCUGGAAACUGUCCAUACAUCCCUUCCCCCAGCUAAGGGAACAAGUAGAGAAAAAUUGCAUCCUGGAGUAGAGGAAUAGCAGAAAUUGAUGCUACUGUUAAAGAUCUGAAAACGCAGUGGUGGUGGUCACUGCUCACUCUCUUAUCCUUAUUUGGCAGCACCAGUCUGGCUCCUGCAGAAACUGGGUGAUUCUGGAGAAUAACUGCGGAACCACAGCUCAAACAAGUGCAGUCCGAGUUUGCCUUGAAAGUGGAGCGAGAAAAAUUCCCAAUGGGCAGAACUGUUAAGUUACAUCAAGGGGGUGCCUUCCUCUGCUGUCUCCCCUUCUACGUCGUCCACCUUCUACAUCUCUGCUACCUCGGAGACAGCAAGGCCAACUCCUCAUCUUCUUCUCCUCCUCAGCCUACUCAAUAUGAAGACACUGAGGGAUGAAGACCUUUAUGAUGAUCCACUUCGACUUAAUAAAUACUGUGGAAUUGGGACGAAUCGCUGCACAGAGGGGCCUUGCCCAAGGCUACGCAGCUGGUGGAUGGAGAAAUCAGGCGCUUGCUGGCCGCCUGGCAGGCAGCUUUCCCUGCGAGGGAAGGAGGUGCCUCCGGCCUCUGAAGAGGUGGCUAUGGGAUAG